GCAGUCUACGAGAACACUUCUUCGGAAGUUAUUAAAGUGGCGCACGGGUGAGUAAUGCCUAAGUAACGUACCCUUUCGCUGGGGAUAACUGGGGGAAACUUCAGCUAAUACCGAAUGAGCCGACAUUUUCUUUGGAUUUUGUCGGCAAAGCCUCACGGCGCGAAAGGAGCGGCUUGGGUCCCAUUAGUUUGUUGGUGGGGUAAAGGCCUACCAAGACUACGAUGGGUAGCUGGUCUGAGAGGAUGAUCAGCCACACUGGUACUGGAACACGGACCAGACUCCUACGGGAGGCAGCAGUUAGGAAUUUUGCGCAAUGGGGGCAACCCUGACGCAGCAACGCCGCGUGAGUGAUGAAGGCCUCUGGGUUGUAAAGCUCUUUUCUCAGGGAAGAAAAAAAUGACGGUACCUGAGGAAUAAGCACCGGCUAACUCCGUGCCAGCAGCCGCGGNNNNNNGGAGGGUGCAAGCGUUAAUCGGAUUUACUGGGCGUAAAGAGCACGUAGGCGGUUUGGCAAGUUUGAUGUGAAAGCCCACGACUCAAUCGUGGAAGUGCAUUGAAUACUGCCAGACUAGAGUAUAAGAGGGGAGAGCGGANUUCCUGGUGUAGAGGUGAAAUUCGUAGAUAUCAGGAGGAACAACGGCGGCGAAGGCGGCUCUCUGGAUUAUAACUGACGCUGANGUGCGAAAGUGUGGGUAGCAAACAGGAUUAGAUACCCUGGUAGUCCACACCGUAAACGAUGGAUACUAGAUGUCGGGAGAUUUACCCUUUCGGUGUCGUANCUAACGCGUUAAGUAUCCCGCCNGGGGAGUANNGNCGCAAGAUUAAAACUCAAAGAANUUGACGGGGGCCCGCACAAGCGGUGGANUAUGUG
rnacentral:rRNA from 1 species